AGAAAAGAUUCAUACCAAAAUAACGUUCUUUUCCAAAAAUUUCAGCAAUUCUUAGUCAAGGAUUCAUUUUGGAAUUAUUAGCAACAGACCAUGUAAGGAUUGUGUUGUCUUGUAAAAUAUACAAAUGGAUGAAGUGGAAAGCUCUACCCGCCCUUCUCUAUUCAUGAAUAAGGAAUGGCCAAGAUCACUAGCAGCAGAUGUUGGGUCACAUUUGUUACCAAUUACCCAAAAUUGGUGGCCAACACCAUGUGUUAUAGGCCUAUGAUAUGGUCUUGAAGUACUACUGGUCAGUCAGACAGACAAACAAGUAGGCCUCUUCAAUAAAUGUUGCCCGAGCUCAGCUUGAUCAGUAAACUCCAUGCCUUUCGAAGUUUCUAGGUCUAGAGCCUUAUGUAUAUCUUGUAUAUAUACGUAUAUAUGUCAUGAGUCGGUCGGAUAGCUGUUCUGAUCACAAUAUAUCCAUUAGUAGAGGGUUGUAGACAUAUCUUUUCAGUUAGUGCAGUAUGUUGGGCUUUCAGGCCUUGUAUGUAUAUUUGGUUGGUUUGUCAGUUGUAAUAAAUAUGACAGCCUUGUUGGCCAAGCUUUA